UUCCCCCACUAUACCACAGUGAUGUCAUCUGAUUUUGGAAGCUAAGCAGGGUUGGUGUUGGUUAGGAUUUGGAUGGGAGAUCUCACAAGAAUAUCACAGAUUGUCAGAC
rnacentral:rRNA from 1 species